rnacentral:rRNA from 1 species
GACGAACGCUGGCGGCGUGCUUUACACAUGCAAGUCGAACGAAGUGGCGAACGGGUGAGUAAUACGUGGGUAACCUGCUCUCCUGUUUGGGAUAAGCCUUGGAAACGGGGUCUAAUACCGCACAAAGGGGGAUGGGCUCGUGGCCUAUCAGCUUGUUGGUGGGGUGAUGGCCCACCAAGGCGGUGACGGGUAGCCGGCCUGAGAAGGCAACCGGGCACAUUGGGACUGCGCUGCGGCCCAGAGUCCUAAGGGGGGCAGAAGUGGGGACUAUUGCACAAUGGGCGAAAGACUGAUGCAGCGACGACGCGUGAGGGAUGAAGGCUGUAGAGUUGUAAACCUCUUUCACAAACGAUAGGGUAGGUGGAGAAGAAGCGCCGGCUAACUACGUGCCAGCAGCCGCGGUAAUAC